rnacentral:rRNA from 1 species
AUACGUAGGGGGCGAGCGUUGUCCGGAAUGAUUGGGCGUAAAGGGCGCGUAGGCGGCGCGGUAAGUCUGGAGUGAAAGUCCUGCUCUCAAGGUGGGAAUUGCUUUGGAUACUGCCGCGCUUGAGUGCAGGAGAGGUUAUCGGAAUUCCCGGUGUAGCGGUGAAAUGCGUAGAGAUCGGGAGGAACACCAGUGGCGAAGGCGGGUAACUGGACUGCAACUGACGCUGAGGCGCGAAAGUGUGGGGAGCAAACAGGAUUAGAUACCCUGGUAGUCCACACUGUAAACGAUGAAUGCUAGGUGUAAGAGGUAUCGACCCCUUUUGUGCCGGAGUCAACACAAUAGGCAUUCCGCCUGGGGAGUACGGCCGCAAGGUUGAAACUCAAAUGAAUUGACGGGG